AAAAGAACUAUAUUCUCAAAAAUUUCUAAAAUUAGCAGUCCCUUGACUUUGCUCUACUUCUAUCAGCUGCCAAACAGAUCCUCAAGUUUCUAAGAAGUCGCUUUUAGGUCCAAUUUCAGUUGACUCAACAAACUAGGCCAAACAACAAUUUACUGUUUCCUUCAUUUUCCAAGCAACCAAACAAAAACCUCAAACUCGAUUCAACCACUAAC
rnacentral:misc_RNA from 1 species